CUGGAGCACAGGCAUCUGUGACUGCACCAGCCCCACCCUCAUCUCACUCAAUGCUUUUCAAGUCCUCGGGAGCCCUGAGGGAACCUCUGAGCACCAGACUCUUGCUCAACCAGUAGGACUGGAUUGAAAUGAUAGAAACAGAUGUCCUUUGGAAUGAAUGCUGUAGUGAAUUAUCCAGAAUGCCCCUCAGGAUGGAGGUAUUUAUUCUUCCAGCUCCUGGGCAUGCAGAGCAAGACCCUGUUCUAGGCGCUGGAGCAGAGCUGUAACCAAGAGGAGCAAACUCCAUCCCUCAGGGGAGCUCAUGGUCUAGCAAACAAGCAACAGACAAGUAAAUAAUAUAAGUGUUCUUCUUUACUCCAUCGCGGAGAUCAAUGUAUCAGCUGGGAAUGCGUAAUCCCAGUGGUGCCUGCUUUCUAUUCUGGAACCAAAGAGGGAACAAGGUGAUCAGGGAUGGGGCAUAUUUAAGGGCAUGGAAACCAGUGGUAGGAUCAUGAGUUUAUGGGCACACUUAGUACCAGUCCCUAAGGGGGUAAUUACAGA